GCUGGUGUAGCACAGUCGGUAGUGCGAUUCACUCGUAAUGAAUAGGUCGUCGGUUCGAUUCCGUCCACCAGCUCCA
rnacentral:tRNA from 1 species